ACGCUUUCAGUUCAUUUUACUUUUUCUUCUAGGUUUCCUUCCUAAAACAGAGAGCAGCCCUGAACUAUGCUGGUCAUAUCUGAGCUGACUGCGUCACUCCCGUGCACAUCUUUGAGAACUCCCAAUUCUCUAAACUGAAUAAAAUCCAGGUUUUUCCAUCCCCUUCCCACACAUGGAGAGACAGCCUGUGUCAUUCACCAGCAAGAAAAUAUAUCUUGACCUCUUGGGAUGUGCUAGCGACUGGAAGAAAUGAAAAGAAUGAGGAAAUACAACUCCUGCCUUCAAGAACUGGAAAUGUGGUCUCGGCCAUGCCAGACCCUUCUCCACCGCACAGUCACAAUCAUGUUCUUCAGAAAAAGAAAAUCUUGAAAGCAGCAAAGAAAAAUGACACCUUACACAGAGGAGACCAAUCAUUCAAAUGUCCACAAAAUUCUCCUCAGAAAUGGUGGAGGCAGAAGACAGUGGAACAUCUUUACAGUGCUGGAGAAAAACAACACAUUUGUCAACCGAGAAUUUCACCUCCAUGCAUGCAAGUCUUCAGAAAUGAAGGUCAAAGAAUUCCACUUUCAACCAUUAACAAUGAAGAGAUUAGAUUAACCCUUUAGGAAACCAAAGCACUGAAUGAAAUAUACAAAAGGACCAUUUCUGG
rnacentral:lncRNA from 1 species